rnacentral:rRNA from 1 species
UACGUAGGGGGCAAGCGUUGUCCGGAUUUAUUGGGCGUAAAGAGCGUGUAGGCGGCCAAAUAGGUCGGUUGUGAAAACUGGAGGCUUAACCUCCAGACGUCGACCGAAACCAUCUGGCUAGAGUCCGGAAGAGGAGACUGGAAUUCCUGGUGUAGCGGUGAAAUGCGCAGAUAUCAGGAGGAACACCGGUGGCGAAGGCGGGUCUCUGGGCCGAUACUGACGCUGAGGAGCGAAAGCUAGGGGAGCAAACGGG